AGGACGAACGCUGGCGGCGUGCUUAACACAUGCAAGUCGAGCGGAAAGGCCCUUCGGGGUACUCGAGCGGCGAACGGGUGAGUAACACGUGAGCAACCUGCCCUUAGCUCCGGGAUAGCUCCGGGAAACCGGAAUUAAUACCGGAUACGACCUCGAGCGGCAUCUCUUGAGGUGGAAAGCUCCGACGGUGAGGGAUGGGCCCGCGGCCUAUCAGCUUGUUGGUGGGGUAAUGGCCUACCAAGGCGACGACGGGUA
rnacentral:rRNA from 1 species